rnacentral:misc_RNA from 1 species
ACUCAAGAAGGUUGAACCCAAUGCACACAGGAUCGAGGAGCAUCGUAGGAAGUAUGAAAGGCUGCACAAAGAGAGAGAGGAUAGAAAGAUUGAGCGUGAGAGACAACGUCGACGUGCUAAAGCACAGGCUGAGUAUGAGAAGGCAAAGAAGCAAGAGCAAUCAUCUUCCAGCAGAAAACCUGGUGGUAUGCCUGGUGGGUUUCCAGAUGGAAUGCCAGGAGGGAUGCCUGGUGGGUUUCCCGGUGGAAUGCCAGGAGGCAUGCCUGGUGGUUUUCCUGGUGGAAUGCCAGGAGG